rnacentral:lncRNA from 1 species
GUGCGAGGUUUGUCUAGGGGGGUCCGGGGGCAUGCGCCCAGGAAAAUUUUUGAAUUUAGAGUCUCUGAAAUGCCAUUUCCUGGACUUUGGGGGGAAGAUUUGACAGAAAUCUGAUGGUCAGGAAACGGCAUUAUAACGUGUCGAAAUUUGCAAUUUGGUUUGAAUUUAUUAGUGGUAGUUAGUACUUAUAUCAUGCAAUGCUAACAACUUCCAGCGAUUAAUCUAAUCCCAAUUCUAUUCUCUACUGAUCUAGUGAUCUGAAUACAUUUACAACAUACAGCUCUUUUAUACAAUAACACACGGACCCCACGCAUAUGCAUUUUAAGGUUUCCCUGCCUGGCUGCCAAAAGGGCGCGUUUCAGCAUUAUUUCAUUACUCACAUUACUCAUGAUGUUUCUAGCGCAAACAACUAAAUUGCGUACACAACUUUACAUUAUCAUAACUUAAACUAUCUAAUUUGCGCCGCUCUCGCGAUUCGUGAAGCAUAAUACAGGGCAUAAUACCAGCAAAAAAGGGCAUGAUUCCCGUGAUCGCUUCGAAACCUGACCAAUAUUCCGGUGAUGAGACAUUGCGUGUGAUCACAGUUCAUGUUUCUAUAUGAACGAUUUCGUGUGAGCCGUGAGAUAUAGCAAAUUAGCAAAUACGGUUAGACAAAAUAGUCUGUAUAAUUUAAUAUAUCACUUUGUCGCCUAUGCGCUUAGUCUGUUUAUAAGCCUAUAAACACAUCUUUUCUCGGCGCCGAAAGUAACUAUAUUUUUUCGAAUGCGUUUUUUCCCACCCACUUUCAAAAGUCGGCGCGGGAUUGGCGCCCCCUUUUCAUUUUUGCGCCCUGCAAGAAUUGCCAGCUGGGGGGGCCGUGGCCCCCCGGCCCCCCCUGCCAGCACGCCAC